rnacentral:lncRNA from 1 species
UCAAUCUCCUGACCUCACGAUCUACCCACGUCAGCCUCCCAAAGUGCUGGGAUUACAGGCGUGAGCCACCGUGCCCAGCCCCAUAAAUAGGUUAUCUUUAAAUAUUCUUCCUUGAUAUCAAAUAUCCAGUAAGUGUUUAAAUUUUUUAUUUUCUCAUAAAUGUCAUAUUUUUUAGGUCCUUUCUGUAGGCUUUCUCAUGUCUUUUUAUUCCUUGCAAAUUUCUUAUAUUGAAAACACAAGUAUUUUUCCUUGGGUUCUUAAGUAGAUUCUAGGGGCUGGGCGCGGUGGCUCAUGCCUGUAAUCCCAG